rnacentral:rRNA from 1 species
ACGGAGGAUGCAAGCGUUAUCCGGAUUCAUUGGGUUUAAAGGGUGCGCAGGCGGAUUAAUAAGUCAGUGGUGAAAUCCUACGGCUCAACUGUAGAACUGCCAUUGAUACUGUUAGUCUUGAGUAUUGUUGAGGUAGGCGGAAUGUGUCAUGGAGCGGUGAAAUGCAUAGAAAUGACACAGAAGAAAGAUCGCGAAGGGAGAAUACCAAGCAAUAACCGACGCUCGUGCACGAAAGCUUCUGGUUCUAACAG